rnacentral:misc_RNA from 1 species
AUUCAUUGAAUAUUUUCAAUCUUGAUUAAUAUUAGUUCUCAUAAUUUUGGAUAUUUUAGUUAAUAAUUUUAGACUUAAUUAACAAUUAGUAGUUGAAAAUUUGAUAAUUAAAUGCUCAUCUAAUCCAUGGAGAGGGAGGACAUUGUGUGGUGGGAUCCACGCCGUUAGAUUGACAGAUUGACAAUGGGUCCCUCUAGAUAUGGUUGCCGUACGGUACAAGGCUUUAAACAUGAUAAAGUUAGAACUUUGGUUUUUGUCAUUUUCAAUCAGCAGAAUUACCUUCUCCACACACUUGAGGCUCAUUGCGGUUGACCGCAUUUGAUCCCACCAAAACACCACCAUUUGCUUGCCUUCAUACUGAGUUCACUCACCACAAUAACAAACUUGCACCACUUUCCGCUAUGUUAGCUUAGUCCCGGUUCAGACCAAUAAAAAACCGCGGGUCUUCUCAAAUCAAAAUUGACAAUUUUGAUUUGCGAAGAAAAUGAAUUUAAAUUGAAUUAUUAGAUGUCAAAUUAAUUUCAAUUCAAUUUAAAUAUUAUCUCAAUGAUUGAUUUUCUUUUGCAAAGUUUGAUUUAGAUAAAACUAUUAAACAGUCGGCGAUCCAAUUUAAGAUCUUCAAUUAAUUUAACCAUUGAUUUUGAUUCGAAAAGAAUUGUGAUUUUUAUUUUUUUUUUAAAUUAGGGCUAAGUGCCUAUUUAGUUUAAUUGUUUUUAAAGUAGGACUAAGAGCUUAUUUGAUUUAACUGUUGAAUACAGUUGAUAACUAUUAAAUGAUAGCUGAUAGUUGAUAGCUGAUUUAUAUUAAGUGU